AACGAACGCUGGCGGCAUGCCUAACACAUGCAAGUCGAACGAAACGGCCCUGCCUAUGUGCGCACCGCGAGUUGACAAGGGGGAAGCUACCCGUGAGUUAGGUGUCACUCACCGUGGGGUGUCCUAAGAACAGAGGGUGUCUUCCCGCCUAAGAUCUCUUGCCGUUGGGUGGGCGCUGGUUAGAUUAGGUGGUUGGGGGUGGAAUAGCGUCCUAUCAGGUCGUUGGUGGGGUAGUCGCUUACCAAGGCUAUGACGGGUGGCAUGCCUGGGAGGCUGACCGGCCACAUUGGGACUGAGAUACGGCCCAGACUCCAACGGGAGGCAGCGGUGGAGAAUAGUGCACUAUGGGCUGAAGCCUGGUGCGGCCACGCCGCGUGCGGUAUGACAGCCUUCGGGUUGUAUACCGCUUUCGCCUGUGACGAAGCGUUAGUGACGGUAAUGGGUAAAGAAGCACCGGCUAACUACGUG
rnacentral:rRNA from 1 species